GGAAGCCUGCCUCAAGAUUAGUUGUCCCUAUGCUUUAUGCAUCUAAAGAUUCCAGGUAGACCACCUGGUUGAUAGGCUGGAGGUGUAAGUGCAGCAAUGCAUUCAGCUGACCAGUACUAAUAAAUCGUGCGACUUAUUUUU
rnacentral:rRNA from 1 species